AGGGUUGUGACUCAAUGGUAGAGCACUCACCUAGCAUGUGUGAAGCCCUGGGUUCGAUUCUCGGCACCACAU
rnacentral:tRNA from 1 species